AUGCACGCUGGCGGCGUGCCUAAUACAUGCAAGUCGAGCGAACGGACGAGAAGCUUGCUUCUCUGAUGUUAGCGGCGGACGGGUGAGUAACACGUGGAUAACCUACCUAUAAGACUGGGAUAACUUCGGGAAACCGUAGCUAAUACCGGAUAAUAUUUUGAACCGCAUGGUUCAAAAGUGAAGGACGGUCUUGCUGUCACUUAUAGAUGGAUCCGCGCUGCAUUAGCUAGUUGGUAAGGUAACGGCUUACCAAGGCAACGAUGCAUAGCCGACCUGAGAGGGUGAUCGGCCACACUGGAACUGAGACACGGUCCAGACUCCUACGGGAGGCAGCAGUAGGGAAUCUUCCGCAAUGGGCGAAAGCCUGACGGAGCAACGCCGCGUGAGUGAUGAAGGUCUUCGGAUCGUAAAACUCUGUUAUUAGGGAAGAACAUAUGUGUAAGUAACUGUGCACAUCUUGACGGUACCUAAUCAGAAAGCCACGGCUAACUACGUG
rnacentral:rRNA from 1 species